AUUGAGCGCUGGCGGCAUGCCUUACACAUGCAAGUCGAACGGUAACAGGUCUUCGGAUGCUGACGAGUGGCGAACGGGUGAGUAAUACAUCGGAACGUGCCCGAGAGUGGGGGAUAACGAAGCGAAAGCUUUGCUAAUACCGCAUACGAUCUCAGGAUGAAAGCAGGGGACCGCAAGGCCUUGCGCUCACGGAGCGGCCGAUGGCAGAUUAGGUAGUUGGUGGGAUAAAAGCUUACCAAGCCGACGAUCUGGAGCUGGUCUGAGAGGACGACCAGGCACACUGGGACUGAGACAAGGCCCAGACUCCUACGGGAGGCAGCAGUGGGGAAUUUUGGAAAAUGGGCGCAAGCCUGAUCCAGCCAUGCCGCGUGCAGGAUGAAGGCCUUCGGGUUGUAAACUGCUUUUGUACGGGACGAAAAGACUCCUUCUAAUAAAGGGGGUCCAUGACGGUACCGUAAGAAUAAGCACCGGCUAACUACGUGCCAGCCGCCGCCGUAAAAC
rnacentral:rRNA from 1 species